rnacentral:rRNA from 1 species
AUUGAACGCUGGCGGCAGGCCUAACACAUGCAAGUCGAACGAGUGGCGGACGGGUGAGUAAUGUCGGGGAAACUGCCUGAUGGAGGGGGAUAACUACUGGAAACGGUAGCUACUAGCGCAUACCAUGGGAUGGGCCCAGGUGGGAUUAGCUAGUAGGUGGGGUAUAGGCGCACCUAGGCGACGAUCCCUAGCUGGUCUGAGAGGAUGACCGGCCACACUGGGACUGAGACACGGUCCAGACUCCUACGGGAGGCAGCAGUGGGGAAUCUUGGACAAUGGGCGAAAGCCUGAUAGAGCAAUGCCGCGUGUGUGAAGAAGGCUUUCGGGUUGUAAAGUUCUUUCGUUGGGGAAGCGUUAUCUGAAGAAGAAGCCCCGGCUAACUCCGUGCCAGCCGCCGCGGUAAUUC